AUGAGGCGUGAGGAGGGUGAGACGAGUAGUAGCAUCCCCCCGCAUCCCCACUCGCCGGUGGUGGGGCCCCUCGAAGAUGAUGACCUUCUCUUGGAGAUCCUCCUUCGCCUGCCCCCGCAGCCGUCGUCCCUCCCUCGUGCCUCCGCCGUAUGUAGGCGAUGGCGCCUCCUCGUCACGGACCCAGGCUUCUCCCGCCGCUUCCGUCGCUACCACUGCCGCAACAUUCCCAUUAUUGGUUUCUACAACCGACAUCUUCCAGACAUCUCCUUCGUACCUACUCUGAAGGGCCCAGACUGUAUCCCACCUAGGCGAUUGUCCUUGCAGCCUCAGCGUGACGACCAAAGCUUCUCCACCUUUGGAUGCCGCCAUGGCCUCGUACUGGUCCAUGUCCGACACUUCAAACCGCUAAAGCACCAUAUUCUGGUGUGGGAUCCUAUCACUGAUGAGCAACACAACCUUGGCAUUCCCCUGGGGAUCGAUACGGGAAACCGAUUCAAUGGAGCAGUGCUUCGGGCUACAGGAGAUUUUGACCACUUCCAGGUGGUCUUGAUAGGCAACAGCGACGAAAGACGAGCGGUCGCAAGUGUUUACUCAUCAGAGACCGGUGUAUGGAGCAAUCUCGUUUCAACAUCAACAUCGUUGCCACUAAUGGACACUACAGACCCUUUUUCCGACUGGUGUUUUAACGGUAUAUCCUUUGAACCCGCUGUGCUGGUUAGGAAUUCCCUAUACUGGCUGCUUGGAGCGGACUCGGUUGGAAUUCUCGAGUUUGAUUUGGAGAGGCAAAUCCUUGCUGUGAUAGGGUUGCCGGUGCGUGUGGGUGUUGGGAGUGAGAGUAGGAGCAAUGAUCGGUUCUCAAUUACGCAAGCAGAAGAUGGUGGGUUGGGUUUCCUCUCGCUGUCAGGCUUCAGCGCCAAAUUAUGGAAGAGGAAGACCAAAUAUGAUGGUAUUGCUUCAUGGGUGAUGGAAAAAAAUAUUGAACUGGACAAACUACUAAAAAUUCCCAUGGAUCCAAAUAGAAAUGAACACGUUAUUAAGGUAAUUGGGUUUGCCGAGAACAAUAAUGCGGUGUUCUUGUACACAAAAAUCGGCAUCGUCGCGAUCCAUCUCGAGUCGUUGCAGUUCAAGAAGCUUCCUGGAUCUAGGAGUGUUGCUUACUAUUAUCCAUUUGAAAGUGUAUGGUUAUAUGGGCCGAUCCAUUUCGUGUUCUGGGCUACAGGAGAUUUUGACCACUUCCAGGUGGUCUUGAUAGGCAACAGUGACGAAAGACGAGCGGUCGCAAGUGUUUACUCAUCAGAGACCGGUGUAUGGAGCAAUCUCGUUUCAACAUCAACAUCGUUGCCACUAAUGGACACUACAGACCCUUUUUCCGACUGGUGUUUUAACGGUAUAUCCUUUGAACCCACUCUGCUGCUUAGGAAUUCCCUAUACUGGCUGCUUGGAGCGGGCUCGGUUGGAAUUCUCGAGUUUGAUUUGGAGAGGCAAGUCCUUGCUGUGAUAGGGUUGCCGGUGCGUGUGGGUGUUGGGAGUGAGACUAGGAGCAAUGAUCGGUUCUCGAUUACGCAAGCAGAAGAUGGUGGGUUGGGUUUCCUCUCGCUGUCAGGCUUCAACGCCAAAUUGUGGAAAAGGAAGACCAAAUAUGAUGGUAUUGCUUCAUGGGUGAUGGAAAAAAUUAUUGAACUGGACAAACUACUAAAAAUUCCCAUGGAUCCAAAUAAAAAUGAACACGUUAUUAAGGUAAUUGGGUUUGCCGAGAACAAUAAUGCGGUGUUCUUGUACACAAAAAUCGGCAUCGUCGCGAUCCAUCUCAAGUCGUUGCAGUUCAAGAAGCUUCCUGGAUCUAGGAGUGUUGCUUACUAUUAUCCAUUUGAAAGUGUAUGGUGUAUAUAUUGUAGAAUUCAUGACCGUCGAAGCCUAGAGCAGCAAGCUAGGGUGAUAUCAACGAUUAUUACAUGGGAGGCAUGA
rnacentral:rRNA from 1 species